ACGGCUUGUCUCACCCUCGCUUGGGCUUCCGGAACGGGCAGCGCCGAGGCCCGCCCCCCGGUCGCACCAGGCCCCGCCCUUUUGGCUACGGCGCUGCGUCCUCGCCGCGCGUCGCGUCCUCGUCCCGGCUUCCGGGGCGGGACGGAAGAGCUGGCGGGCCCGGCCAGUCCAAGGCGCCGCGGCUUCCGCCCAGGAGGGGCGCUGGUCCUAGACGAGGUCGUGCGCGCUUCCUGCGUUGGUUUUUUGCUGUCCCCGCCCGCCCCCAGGUGCGCGGGACGUAGAGGCGGGACAGCGGGUAGGCGGAGAUGAAAGAGGCCGGCGGCGGGGCCCCGGGGGCGCGCGUGCCAGGCCCUGCUGCAGCCCCCGAGAGGUCGGAGGUGCGGAGCCUAUGCACUGGGCCGGGGGCCAGCCCGCGUGUCGGCCUGCGCGGAACGCACACCUCGGACAGAAAAGUGACAUCAGAACCCUAGGCUCUGUUGUCAACCAGGGUUACAGAUGUCACCCUCUCUGCACGGGGAGGAAGGUGUAGCCGGCCACCAGCCCUGUUGAUUACCUUAGCUCACUGCUGCCUCGUCUCCAGCCGGAAGAUCCGCUUACCCAGAGCUAAGUCUCAAGCUUCUCAGCAUCCCUGAGCUUGACCCAAGUUGCCUGAAGAUCCUCACCUACCUGUUACCCCAGAUUUUCGAAUACUGGCUGCCUCCCUUUGCUUGAGAUGGGAAAGGAUGCCCUCUGCCCAGCAUCUGAAGAAAGGGCAUGAAGAAAUAAGUGAGCCCUGGAUGGCCCAUGUGUGGCACCAAGCCUGCCGGGCCUGUGGUGCCAGGGCUACAAGGGCAUGGCAGAACACCCCCAGUGUGCCCACACACAGUGGCAAGCCAGCCCCCAGGACACUGAGGCUGUCUCUCCCAUCUGUAACCCAUCCUUCCUGGCAAUGCAGAGGGGCAGUCUGGCUUUUUCCUUGGCUUUUGAGGUUGGUAUAUGCUUGAUGUUGGCAGCAGACAGGACACCCCAGCACAAUGAGCCACAGCAAUCCAGACCUUCUAGCCCCCAAGUGUACCUCAGAGCGGAAGCUCCACAUUUGAUUUUUUUUUGGCUCCAUAUUAAAGAACAAAGCAUAGGAACUGGACAGGCCCCUCUGUAAACAGAAAACACAUGUUUUCUAAGAGAAUGGGCCCUUCCUUUCCUUGUUUCAUCUCCCAUGGACAGAGGCCUCCUUAGGCUUGCUGACUUCAAGACCAGGGAGGCUGUGGACCAAGGGCUGAGCGGAGGUGAUUCUUCUUUGCUCAACUCAGGGGCUGACACUCACCUUUUGAAAGGGGGCAAGGACAAGUGUUAGUGGUCUGCUCAGCAGUGGGGUGUGGUCUGAGGAGGAAGGUUCCUCAGGGACCUGAACAGGAAGUGGGGGGCCUGGACCAUUUGUCUCUUCUGAGCACACAAGAAUCAUUUAGGGUUGGCCGGGCGCGGUGGCUCAUGCCUAUAAUCCCAGCACUUUGGGAGGCCGAGGCGAGUGGAUAACGCAGUCAAGAGAUCGAGACCAUCCUGGUCAACAUGGUGAAACCCCGUCUCUACUAAAAAUACAAAAAAAAAAAAAAAAAAAAUAGCUGGGCAUGGUGGCGCGUGCCUGUAAUCCCAGCUACUCAGGAGGCUGAGGCAGGAGAAUUGCCUGAACCAAGAGGCAGAGGUUGCGGUGAGCUGAGAUCACGCCAUCGCACUCCAGCCUGUGUAACAAGAGCGAAACUCCGUCUCAAAAAAUAAUAAUAAUAAUUUAGGGUUCUCCCCGAGUUAAGAUGAACAUGUGUUCUUUGGAGCCUGCUAGCCACAACCAGGCAGAGACCUCUAACUCAGAAGAGAAGCCUGAUGUCUGCAAAGAACAGGCAUUCUGGGACUGAGUACCCACUGCUGUGUGGCCUUGGGCAAGUUUCUUAACCUCUCUGGGCCUCAUGUUUCUCGUCUGUAGAAGUGGGAUAACAAUAGUUUAGGAUUAAAUGAGAUCAUGGGAAUAGCCCCAUCAGACACAUAAUUAGAAGCUAGUUAAUAAGUGAGCAAAAUCAAACAUUGUCUCAGUUUCAAUGCUGAGCUGUUGUUUUAGAGUGGCCCAAGAAUCGCCUACAGACACCCAGGGUCCCUGUACUCCAAGGAGCACCUCCUCUCCCCCUGCCUUCUGUUGGGCACAGCCACUCACAGACUGGCUAUGACACCUCUUUGGAAGCAGCCAUCUUGGGGACAGAUCAUUCCUUUGAAUCCUCCCAGCUGCCUAAACUUUGUCCUAUAGGGGAGAUUUGAUUUUGAGAAAUAAUCAGACAUCCUUUAAGACAAGUCUGCUGAAUGGAUGCUCAGAAGCCAAGCCAGGGCCUCCUGUCCAGCGCCAGCUUGUGCCACGACUGUAAAGUCAGUAGCCACGGCUUCCUGCUCCAAAGGCACUAUAGAGCCACAAAUGGAUCACUGUCACUGGUGUUGGGGUGUGUGUGUGUAUGUCUGAAAACAGAGAGAUUCACACACACCCGUGAGCUCAGUGGAGGAAGCAAACCAAAGCCUGAGUAGUUAACACGAGGCUGCCUUUCGUCUCUCAGCCCACAACUUGAUUUUCAUGGAAAUUUCUCUGCAUGGGAAAAUGACAAGCAUUUCUGAUACAGGCAAGUAUGAGAGUACGGCAGCAUGCUGUCCUGGCAUGCUGGGGUUUAGAGGCGGGUCCCCCAGCCUGCUCCUCACCAGCUAUGUGGCCUCUGGCCCCUUUCUUCAUCCCCUAGCCCUUGGUUUCCCCAUCUCAGGUCCUGCAGGGGGGAAACACACAGGCCAUGCCCAUACGCGUGGGCAUUCACAGCAUCUGCUGGUCACAUUGCUCAUUAAAACACUGUAAAAAUUAAUUGGCAUUCACAAAGUUCUAGUCACAAUAGCAAACUUUUUUUUUUUUGAGACGGAGUUUCGCUCUUGUUACCCAGGCUGGAGUGCAAUGGUGCGAUCUCGGCUCACCGCAACCUCCGCCUCCCGGGUUCAGGCAAUUCUCCUGCCUCAGCCUCCCGAGUAGCUGGGAUUACAGGCACGCGCCACCAUGCCCAGCUAAUUUUUUGUAUUUUUAGUAGAGACAGGGUUUCACCAUGUUGACCAGGAUGGUCUCGAUCUCUCAACCUCGUGAUCCACCCGCCUCGGCCUCCCAAAGUGCUGGGAUUACAGGCGUGAGCCACCGCGCCCGGCCACAUUUUUUAAAAUCAGAAACAGGCCAGGCACAGUAGCUCAUGCCUGUAAUUCCAGCACUUUGGGAGGCCGAGGUGGGUCACUUGAGCCUGGGAGACAGAGGUUACGGUUAGCCAAGACUGUGCCACUGGACUCCAGCCUGGGCGACAGUGAGACCGUGACUCAAAAAAAAAAAAAAUUCAAUUGUCCAUCAGUAGAUAAAUAGGUAAACAAACAUCAAUAGGCAUAUGAUAAAAUAUUCCAAUGCAGUGAAAAGGAAGGAGCUAUUGAUAGACUCAGCAAUGUAGACACACGUCAGGAUCCCAAGGAAGAGUUCAUACUCCACGAGUUUUAACGUUUUUUUUCAAAUAAAUUAAAAGUGAUCUACAGUGAUAGGAUUCGGGUUAGUGGCUGCCAGGGAGUCAGAGAUUGCCUGCAAGGGGCCCCAGGGAACCUGUGGUGAUGGCUGUUUGCUUUCUCGAUCUUGGUGGUAAUAGGAAUAACGCCUGCAUACAUUUGUCAAAACUCAUUGAACAGUAGAGGUGAGAGGGAUUCUGCCACAUGGAACUUUUACCUCAAUAAGGUUGAUUUCAAAAAUUAACUGGUAUUUAUAUUUUAUGUUUCAAAUCUUGUAGAGAAUAAUAAUGACAUAAAAUGCUCACAACCUGUUCAACAAGAAGUGUAAAAUAACGUACAGCGUGAUAUAAUCAUGAAUGUAUGUUUGCGUUAUAACAUGGUAUGGUCCAUUCACAUAGGUGCGAACAGGAAUAUGCACGUGCACAUAGACACACGCAGUUUGGAAAACGUAGUGGAAGGACUUUCCCCCAAAUGCACUCGGUAAUUACAUAAUCACCUCAUGGGGAAUUGUUUUCUUUUAAUUUUUUAAUUCUAAAUACGUUUAUCCUCUUACUAGUUCUUUUUUGGACUUUCCUGUAAUGAGCACUUUUGUGUGUGGAAGAGGAGUCUCUUUUGCUUGCCAUAUUCUUAUUAAUUUUAUUGUUAAUUGACUAAUAAUUGUAUAUGCUUAUGAGGUUUAAUCUGUUAUAUACAUAACACUUUUUAUAAACAGAAGCAAACAAAGCUCUUCCUUUUUAGUUGUAGCAGGCCACAGACAUGGGGCUGGGCUCCAGGGCACGGUGUUGAGGACAGCCUGGUUCCCGCGAAAGGCAACCCCCUGGCAACGCUGGAGCAGAUGGAGAGAGAGUGAGGGGGUGUGGCUUGCUCCCCAAGUUCUUUGGCUCAGCUUCAGUGCUAGGUCAUUCUUAGGGACUGCUGUGCCCACUGGGCACUGCAGAACUUCUGGUGCUCAUGGCGAAGGGCAGCCGGGAGGAGCCCUGUACCCAGGCCAGACCUUCCUGUUUGGAGUACUGGGACCCCGUGGCCGCGUAAACCUUUCCUGAAGCUUCUGGGCCCCAAGGGGUUGAAUCCAGUGUGGUCUGGGGAGUCAUGGACCAUGCCUCCUGCAUGCAUCCUCCAUUCCAGGUUCCUGUGUGUGCCGUGGGCCCAUCCACCUGUCUGGGCUUGGCUACGCUGUGACCUUCUCUGAGGACAGGGCCCUGCCUGCAUUUGGAGCUGCCGGGACCUCAGUGUCACCCCCCACUCUCGCCAGCUGGCCUCACAAAGGUGCCCAGGAGGAGACCUGAUUGCCGGCUCCUUUCCCCUCCCUGGCUGAGCAGAUUCUACGACAGCCUGUGGAAGUUAAAAUAAGAGCCUAAAACUGUCAAAAAAAAUUUUUUUAAACCAAGUCACAAAUGGGAAAGCUGAGGCAGCAGCAGGUUAAGGACACUUUGUGAUGUAGUGUUCUCUCCCAGUGCCUUCAUGCCAUAAACUUCACAGUCCACGGUCCCUGCACACAGGCAGCCACGGAGACUGGGUUUAGACUUGCAGGUGAACGCUGCAUUGGAAGUAUGGCAGGCUCAGAACUGUUCCAUCACAUGGGGGGUCAUUAGCUCUGCUCACUUUUGUGAGGCCUCACUAGUGUUUCCCCUUAAAAAUAAGUCAAGGUAAAAGAAAAAGUUUUUAAAAUAUAACAGUUGUGUAUCUGUUUCUCUAAUUGUAAAGAAAUACACUGUCAUGUGAUGGGCUGGAGUCUCUGGAGCAGCAGCCGAGGAGGGAAUGUUUUCUUUCCUUGUUUUAACAGUGUGUAUUGCUUUUAUAAUGGGAAGAAAUAAAAUAUAAGUACAUUGAAGGUAA